UUUUGAGACAUCCAUUAAAACAAGGAUGGAAAC
rnacentral:other from 1 species